GGAUGCAUGAAAUAUGGGCACUCAGCUUGGCAACAACACAACAUCAACACAGUUUGGAGUUUCUUCAUGAGCUAGUCUCUCGUUUCAGACUGUGUUCCAAGACCUGGUGCCAGGAUUAGGUAUAACAUGUAUGAGUCCUGAUGCUGGAUGCUAGGAUUAGGUAUAACAUGUAUUAGACCAAUGCUGGAUGCCAGGAUUAGUUAUAACAUGUAUUAGUCCUGAUGCUGGAUGCCAGGAUUAGGUAUAACAUGUAUUAGACCAAUGCUGGAUGCCAGGAUUAGUUAUAACAUGUAUUAGAUCGAUGCUGGAUGCCAGGAUUAGGUAUAACAUGUAUUAGACUGAUGCUGGAUGCCAGGAUUAGGUAUAACAUGUAUUAGACAGAUGCUGGAUGCCAGGAUUAGUUAUAACAUGUAUUAGACAGAUGCUGGAUGCUAGGAUUAGGUAUAACAUGUAUUAGACAGAUGCUGGAUGCCAGGAUUAGGUAUAACAUGUAUUAGACAGAUGCUGGAUGCCAGGAUUAGGUGUAACAUGUAUUAGACAGAUGCUG
rnacentral:lncRNA from 1 species